UAGAUAGAUAGUUUAUUACGGCCAUAGGCCCAUAUUCAAUACAUCAUACAGCAACACAGGUAUAACAAGAUAAAAUUGAUAAAUUAAAUUACGUUUAAAUCAAGUACAUCUCAGACCGUAAGUUUCUAAAUUCCAUUAAAAUAAGAACAAUAUAGCACUUAAAAUAUCAAAUUAUCAGUAUAAAUCAAUAUUAUUUAGGCAAAAUCAAUAAUCAUAGAGUAAUCCAUUUUUCUUUUUAUAGGCUAAUACUGUUAUCAGAAAUCUGGCAACAGAAAGGGACCUACUCGGAUCAGAAUCUUGCAAUAAAUGAAUUAGCUGUAUUUCCAGAGAGUCACCUGAGAUUUCCAAUAAUAAAGGGGACAAAAAUCUGGUCCGAGAAACUGAAUGUAAUGAACAACAGAAUAGUAUAUGUUGUAAAGAUUCUAUAGAUCUAUUAUCGCAUACACACACCGCUGAGAUCCAACCAUUGGAAAAUCUAUUAUUCAGGACAUUGGAAGGAAAGGCAUUAAAUCUUAUCUUAAUAAAGGCAUAUCUGUGGGCCGCUACAGACAAAGAGGUCAAAUAAGAUGGUAUCUGCUGUGAGGGCACUAUGCCAAGAUUUAAUGGUGAGCAAGUGCCACUACCCGAAAUGGUGUUUUGUUGUAGGUCAAUCUCCUCAAGUUUUUGAAUGAGGAUUUUUUUUGCUGUGGCUAGGUCCAAUUCCAAUAAUUCUGAUGGAGACAAUCCAUAGGUCACUACUUUAGAAUGGAUCUCUUUUGCCCCUAGGACAGGAAAAUUAUCUCUCCAGAGGCAUUGGAUCAAAUACAGAUUCGGGAGCCUAUGCCUUAAGGACAACCAGUAACAAAGGCUGCGCCUCCAAAGAGUAUUUUCUAAAGAUGUAGUUUUUAAUUCUAAACGAAUAGCUGCGUUGCUAACGCACUGAGGAAGUUUUAGCAGUCGUCUUAGAAAUUGAUUUUGAAUUACCUCCAAGGGCAUCAAGUUUACUGCGGUCCCCCAUAAAGGAACAGCAUAUGCCAAUGUUGCAAUUACUUUAGCUUUGAAUACUUUCAGGGCAGAUGGAACAUGAAGAGCCCCGUCCGGAAAAAAAAAGCGCAAAAGCGCAAAGGAUGGGGCCUUGGCCUUGUUUAGAAUAUGUGCAAUAUGGGCCUUCCAACCCAGAUUAUAUUGGAGAAAGACUCCCAGGUAUUGAAAUUUAUAGACCUGUUCAAUAGGUUUUCCAUCUAAUUGCCACUUAUAGGAUUUCCGACUUUUUGAGAAAAUUAGUACUUUUGAUUUAGAUUGAUUUAUAGUGAGGGAAUUUGUUUUACAAUAUGAAACAAAUUAUUUUAAUGCUCUCCUGAGGCCAAUUCUUGAGAAGGAUAAAAUCACAGCAUCAUCAGCAUAGAGUAAUAGUGGGCAACGAUAGUUUGCGAGGCGGGGGGCAUGGGUGAUUUCCUGCGAUUCAGCCAAUGGUAUCCUCAUGUCACUAAUGAAUAAAUUGAAAAGAAAAGGAGCUAGGAUACCGGACUCCUCUGUUGAUGGGCACAGAGUUUGUGAGAUCGCCGGCUGGGGUUAUUCUCACCCUAGCAUCCGACCCCUCAUGCAGCUGGAUUAUUAACCAUAAAAGUCUUCUAUCAAUUCCCCAUCGGGUCAACUUUUCCCAAAGCAACCUUCUGGGGAUGCUGUCAAAUGCAGCCUUAAGGUCGAUAAAAGCCGCACAUAGUUGGCCCCGGUUUGAAGAGGAGUAUUUCCGGGCUAGAUGGUGCAAGACUAAAACAUGGUCCGUAGUUGACUGGUUCGGUCUGAAUCCUGCUUGCUCGGGGCCUAUCAGUUUCUUUUCUUCAGCCCAUUGGGUAAGUCUAUUCAGCAGAACACGUGCGUAUAUCUUUCCAACUAUUGACAGUAAACUAAUAUUCCUAUAAUUCUCCGGAUCGUCUGGGGAGCCUUUUUAUAUAUUGGAAUUAUAAUAGCGUCCUUCCAUAUUUUUGGCACCCUUCCAGUUGUAUUAAUGGCAUCGAAAGUAACAGCCAGGAUUUUUGCCCACCAGUCGGAAUGAAGUUUUAUGGCUUCCGCCGGAACCAAAUCUGGCCCAGGGGCUUUGCCGAUUUUAAGUUUAGAGAUUAAAUUCAAAAUUUCAUCGGGGUCAGUAGGAGGCCAGAUAGGGAGAUGGUCAAAUACAUCAUCAAGAGCGUUGGUAUUGGGAUCUGGUGACGCAAAAUAUUUCCUUAAAAAGGAUUCCCAGACCGGGGCAGGAAUUACUGUUAAGGGAUAUCUCCUUGAUCUUCUAUUAACCAGUUGCCAAAAUUGCCGUGAGCUACAUGAACUAGAGGUGACUAUUAGCGCCUGCCAGCGAUUGUGUUGCCACUCUUGCUUAGCCAUUCUCUGGGCUUGCUUAUAUGCUAUUUUUGCUUGCUGGUAAUUCCUAGGUAAUACUAAGGCACCAGAAGAUUUAUUUUCAUUGUAAAUGGCACAGAGAUGUCGUCUAGCUUGCUUGCAUUUUAAAUUAAACCAGGGGGCACCGGUCUUGAAAUGGGCCUGAUUUACUUGGAUGGCUGGUACUGCAAAAAAGGACAUAAGAUCUUCUGUAAGCAAAGAGAAUGAAUUAAUAAUUCGUUCAUGCCCAUACAGAUCUAAACCUAAAACAACAUGAGUUUGAAUUUUCUCUUGUUGGAAGAAUUCCAUAUAUUUUUGGGCUUGAGUUACUGACCAUUUUAUUCCUCUCACUUGUUCUGCAGUAUUUAUUCCCAUAUUUAUGGGGUGUCUAGGCUUGAUAGACUGCCAGUCUAGGGAAAGCUUGGCACUCAAGGGGAGAUGGUCGCUCAUUUGGACGUUUUCUAUUUUAAAAUAAGAAAAAUUUGGGAAUAGAUCUCUCGAAACAAUAAAAUAAUCGAGAACACUAUUUGUAAGUGUGCUCAAAUGAGUAAACUCACCCGGAAUAUCCGGGGGACAAUUUCCGUUUAAAAUUAUCAAAUUCAAACGUAAAAUCAGCUGAUAAAGAAGGGUUCCGCUUCAUUAACCCUAUUAUCUUUCGAUUUUCUCUGUAUAUGGGGGGAGAAAUCCAAGUUCUGGUGAUCAGGUAUGACCCACCAUUUGGCCUUGCCUAGCGCUUCCCAGUUUGCAGCUGUACGAGCAUUAAAAUCACCUCCCAUGACUGCUGAGAUAUUUGGGAACUUAGUAUAACAGAAAGCUAGGUGUUCUUCAAGUGUUUCCCAUUUGGAAUGGAGGUCCACUACCUGCCCCCCCCCGGGGGGGAAAUAAACAUUUGUUAUCAGUAAUUCAAAUUUCCCUCCUGAAAUCAGUCCUGUAAUCGCGUACGGAGAGGAAGAUUUAACAAGUGUAAGUUUUGCUUGCAAUUUGAGGGAAAUGGCUAUUACCAAACCUCCCCUGGGGUGUCCACCUUUAAGAGAGGGGCUAGCUGGAAGCAAAAUGGUAUCGUAUCCAUUUAUGUCAAUCGCCUCCUCUUCCCAAGUUUCUUGUAGGAGAAUUACUUGAAAUAAAUUAACAAAUUUUAAGAAGUCUGGAUCAGAUUUCUUCCCCCUCCAUCCCGCAAUAUUCCAGCAUAAAAAUGACAUCGAGGAGUGGUUGGGUUGAUCGUUAGGUAGUCAGAUCAUGUGGGAAUGGGGUUCUAACUUUGGGGGAGCUUCAGCUUCAAAAAAAUCAGUAAUUUUCCUUUGAGAAGGUGGCAAUCAUGCUAUACAUCCCAACUGUUUGAAUUUAUUGGGGUGGUUUGGCUGUAAAGUCGUGCCGCUCAUCUCGCUAAAGGCAGAUGUUUGGCCUAAGAUAGCCGACUUUCCAGAGCCAGAUGGUAGAAUUAGGGGGGUAUUACUUAGAGAGAGCGAAAUUAAGUCAGCAGUUAUCGUGCCACUAGUUGAGUGAUCAUUAGUUGAUUGGAUAAUUUUGUUAAUACGACCUGUCGGGUCUUCAACCAGAUCAUUCUUCAGGACUAAAAAUAAAAUGGAGUCGUCUCUCAUUUGUUGGUCUGGUUCAGCUGGUUCUGUUACCGGUUCGAUGGUAUCUAUGGAUUUAUUCAACUUGCACACGUUAGAAGAGAGUGGGUUAAUAAAAUUACAAGUAAGUGGACCCAUAUGGGACACUUUACAUGGAGAACCUAAUUCAGAUUCGUUAAGUUCCCUCAUUUUGUCCCAAGCAGAUGUUGUAGUCAUAUUUGCCUAAGAGAAGGGGUGCAUAAUAGAUGGGUCUGGUGAUGGGGUUUCCGCCUCCAGAGUAUGGAAGAGUGGAUUCAUCUCCGCAACAACCAGUUGGCUGGUAGGGGUGGGUGCCUUCCCAACCCACAGGUCCAGUUCUUGGUGGUAUAAGCGUGGGGCAGAAUCUGAACCACAGUCUCUAUCAAGCAUAUUUUGUUUAGGUAAACUCAGCUGUUCCUCCGUCACUUUUGUCAGGCAGAAAUAAAGGGAAUCAAUUUUACGGAGUAUUUCUUUCUGGACUUCUUGCGGGAGAACACUAUAAGAAUGGAGUAAGUUAUUAUCAAAGCUAUCGAGGUCGAUUCCCUGAUUCUCCGCAUACCUGGGCCCGAGGAAGUCCAACCUUUGAGAGUCCUUGGUAACCAGACCAGUAGGAUGUUUGGAGAUGUCCUCCGCAGAGUUUAUAUCAAUUAGAACAUGUUGAUCAAUCUCAUGUUGAGUUUUUGGCAAAUUUACAAUAUGGGGGAUAAGUGGAAUUGGAGGUGCUUCAUUCUUAAAGUAUCUUGAGAUUCUUAUACCACUCAUCUCCAUGUGUUCUCUACAUUUGUACACUAGUUUUGCCAGUCUCCCCUCGUAGAAUGAAACCACCGCUCUGGCAAGGAAUCCGUUGAAGUAUAGAUAUUCCACUUGGGCCAAAUCAGUAGGGUUAUUAAGUAUACCCGGCAUGUAGAUCUUUAAAAGGUUCAAUAGAUGGGCUUUACGCUCUUCUUGUGACAGGAGUCCUGGGGGUUUAGGAUAGUUUGAUAAAACGAGUUUGUUUCGGUACAGCACCAGAUUCCAGUUUUUAUUUGUUAGAUUUGUCUGAUUUCUCUUCUUAGAAGGAUUGGUUUCAUCUACAGAUAGAAUGUAAGACCAUGGAUCUUGGAUCAAAAUGUCUUGCUUGGAGUUAGGUGUUGGGGUAAGUGUUAAAGGUUCUAAGCAAUCCAUCGCAGCGUCAGGGCAAGGGUUUAUAGAACGUUCUUGCUUAGAAGAUUUCCUGGUUUCUCGGUUAUUGGGAUACUCUUGAGAAGAUUAAAAAGCUUUUUAAAAUCCAUUUUUUUGUAACGCACUGCCUUAAGGUUUUUAACAUUUCUGCUCUUUUUUACCCUUAUGGGCCUCCUUUUCAAGGCAGUAGCCCUACAAGAUCUCUUGGCCUUCCUUGGUGGUCUGUUUUUGCAGGUGGUGGGAUGGAAGUUACUAUUACUUUCCAAUUCUACAGUCACCCCGCUGGAUUCCCUACAGAGAGUUUUGCAAGUAUCCAUCAUUAUAGUGAGGAUUUUUGUACAAGUGGCCAGAUGGGAUUUUAUAUUUUUGAUAUCCUCAGUUAAAAGCACAAGCCAUUUGAUAACUGAUAAAUCCUCAUCCUCAUUUGUCUCAAGUUGGAAGCAGGAGUCUCUUGAUGUUUUAGGGUUUCCCGAAGACAUCUCUGCAAUUUGUUUUAACAUUAGUUCUUCCACUUCUCGGACUCGGGAUGGUUCAGGAGAAGCUUGGGAUUUAAGUCUCUGUUUUGGGAGUAGUUCGGUGACUGUACCAAUUAUGUUUGGAUUUACUUUGGGCUUUAUUGGCCCUUUGUUGUGGCAUUCUUCUACACAUUCUUCUUCACAAUCCUCUCUCUGCACAGCCGGCCCUUCAGUGCAGGGGGGAGGAGUUUCAGUUUCCUGCUGAAUCUCACUCGGCUUGACUUUACCCCUAUUCUUAAAGGGCCGAGUGCUUUUGUUUGAGCUCCCUUUAGGGUAGCUCUUUUAGAGAGAAGUCUUAGAUCACUCCGAUAAAAGCCUGGUGUUCUACAGCCACUCCUGGUCGUCACCAUUAUUUAUCUUGUGAAGGUCAAGUUGGUGAAAAUCUCACCUCGGUUCAUUAGCUCCGUCGGGUGUUGCAGGAGGGUUCUCCGCGGGACUACUUCCAAGGUAGGCAGGUAAUUGAGACCAAUUUGCUGGGCUCCUUUGCCGUGGUGGUGGAGGCCGCGGCGGUGUUAGCGGCGCCUUUUUGGCUGUGUCGCCUUCCUAGCUCAGUGGGGAGGCGUCCGAGAUAACAAGGAGGUAAAACCAUGAGAUGAUAAAAUAGGGCAAUAAAACAAUAAAGUAGAACAAUAAAAGGACCAUAAAACUAUAAAAUGGUGAGAGCAGCUGCAUCACCCUGCCUCACAGAUCGGUGGCCAUCUUGGAUCUCC